rnacentral:rRNA from 1 species
GACGAACGCUGGCGGCAUGCCUAAUACAUGCAAGUCGAGCGAACAGAUGAAGUGCUUGCACUUCUGACGUCAGCGGCGAACGGGUGAGUAACACGUAAGGAAUCUACCUAUAAGCGGGGGAUAACAUUCGGAAACGGGUGCUAAUACCGCAUAAUAUCUUCUUCCGCAUGGAAGAAGAUUGAAAGACAGCUCUGCUGUCACUUAUAGAUGACCUUGCGGUGCAUUAGUUAGUUGGUGGGGUAACGGCCUACCAAGACGAUGAUGCAUAGCCGACCUGAGAGGGUGAUCGGCCACAUUGGGACUGAGACACGGCCCAAACUCCUACGGGAGGCAGCAGUAGGGAAUCUUCCGCAAUGGGCGAAAGCCUGACGGAGCAAUGCCGCGUGAGUGAAGAAGGCCUUCGGGUCGUAAAACUCUGUUAUAAGAGAAGAACAAAUUGUAGAGUAACUGCUACAGUCUUGACGGUAUCUUAUCAGAAAGCCACGGCUAACUACGUGCCAGCAGCCGCGGUAA